AACUACCUGAUGAAAGAAAGUGACAGGAAGUAACAAAGAGUGGUUAACCAAACAAACGUCCAAAAGAUUUUUUUUUUAAUUAGCAUCAAAAUUAACAACAACAUUUUUCAACUAAAUUAGUGCAUUUGAGCAUGCAUUUUAACACUUGCAGAAGCUGUGAAUCCCUCUAAGGUGCUAAGAGGGAUGCAAGACAAGAAACUGUUACCUUCAGUAUUAAUAAAACCAGCAAAAUAUCAGUCUCAAUUGAAAAGAGUUAGAAGACAGGAACUGCAACAUAACACACCACAUUUAAAAGUAUAUGUUAUAUACCAAGCAUUCAACCUCAAUAUGCUAUAUAAAGUAACACAGCAGGAAGAGAACCACUGGUUGCUCCAAUAAUAAUACUUGUUUCCUUCCCUUAGCAUCCUUACUACGCAGCUAACUGAGAACUCUACCUUACCAUGUAGUUCAAACCUGAAGAGAAACCUGGAAGUCAUCUGAUUUUCAGUUAUUCUUGGUGAAAAUAUUCCUUACGAAGACUACUCCUAGUCUCCAAUUCUGUAAACCCCACCAGGAAUCAGUCAUCUCAGCAGUUCUCUUUUUAGAAAAGAUUACUACUGACUUUGGUGAGAGUUGCCAGCCAACAGCAACACCAGCACUCUACAUUCUGCCAUGCAAGCUUACAGUUAGCAUGGUUCAUUAAGGAAGGGCAUUCAAUCUCCUUUGUUACAGUAACUGGACAUAAGCAGGAUUUUCUGAAAUCAUUUUCCCAACCAUUGUCCCAGAGCCUGACAGCGACAAAGAAACCAUCCAACUCAGCAUCCCAGUAUGAACAACAGUAGGAUUGGAAACACUACUACUAAACCUUCUGGAGCAGAAGGGUAUGUGUUUUCAACAUAUAGAGGUCUAGCAAAUGAACUUAGAUGCUAUUGGAUCAGGCCACCUCUGUACAAACACUACUCAGCUCCUCACUUUGUCUUCCUUGAAAAGGUUCCCUAGAGCCAAAUGGGGGACAAUAAAGAAAACUUGGCAGCCCACACUGGUUUGCACACUGUUUACUGCAGGGUUACACCAAAGGACACGAAUCUUGACUAAGAUUAAGAAAAAUCGAGUUUUGGUAGAGCAUUUCACAAACUGCAUUUCAAACAGCUUUACAAGAUUCAAUACAGGCUGAAAAAUGAAUUAUAGAAAGUAAUUUGUAGAAGUGCUAGACAGUGCAGAGAAGGGUCUUGCAUCAGUGCUGAGGCUGUGGAAAAGGUGAAAGAGAUGCUAGAUGAGCAGAGGGAGGUUCUCCGGUUGUGGUGAUACAAGUUGCAGCUUGUUAAGUCCCUUAAUGGACAACCUUGUAGUUUGUUUAGAUAAUGGGAAGGAUCUGUGACUUUGUAUUGAAUAAAUAAGGGAGAUUCUGCGAAACUUUGUAUUUGAAUAGAUAAGGAACAUUCCACGAGUCUUUGUAUGGAAUACGGAUGUACCUCCGGGAAGACCUCUGAAUGUAUAUAAACUGAAGACCUCUCUGUGCAAGGUAUGCGUGAUAGGAGUAACAAUUUGACGACCCAGGUGGAACAAAGCUCUUGAGCCUCAACAGCUCCUGGGAUCACAGAACCUCAGCCGGCACUGAGGCAUGCUUGGGAGGACCCUGAUUCCUGGACUGAAGAGCCCAGGAGUGAAGAUGACUGACUAGUGAGUAUCAAGGCAUUCUUUUUUAUUUUAUCUUAUUGUUUUGGUUGCCUGGGGCAGUUAGAGGCCCCCCAUAUUUUGGUUGCCUGCCUGUCAGAUGUAACAAAAGUUGCACAGGGUAGGGCUAAAAGGCCUGGGUAAUGGGUUAAAUCCCCAAAAUUGGAAUUAAACAUCACCAUGGUUAUUGUCAUCGGGUACACUUAUUUGAUUGUUGAUUGUUGGUUUGUGCUGUUACUGUAUACUGAUUCUUUGUUUUUGUUGUUAUUGUACAAAGAACUCACCCAUGUGCAUUGUUAAAAUGGGCACAUCUACGGGUGAGGGAAUUGUGAAAAAGUCUUCUUUGGGCUGUGUUCUAAGUUA